rnacentral:tRNA from 1 species
GCCGAGGUGGUGAAAUGGCAAACACGCAUGACUUAAAAUCAUGUGGGCGCAAGCCCUUGAGGGUUCGAGUCCCUCUCUCGGCA